UGGGGAAUAUUGCACAAUGGGGGAAACCCUGAUGCAGCGACGCCGCGUGAGCGAUGAAGUAUUUCGGUAUGUAAAGCUCCAUCAGCAGGGAAGAAAGUGACGGUACCUGACUAAGAAGCCCCGGCUAACUACGUGCCAGCAGCCGCGGUAAUACGUAGGGGGCAAGCGUUAUCCGGAUUUACUGGGUGUAAAGGGAGCGUAGACGGCAUGGCAAGUCUGAAGUGAAAGCCCGGGGCUCAACCCCGGGACUGCUUUGGAAACUGUCAGGCUAGAGUGCUGGAGAGGUAAGUGGAAUUCCUAGUGUAGCGGUGAAAUGCGUAGAUAUUAGGAGGAACACCAGUGGCGAAGGCGGCUUUCUGGACUGAAACUGACACUGAGGCACGAAAGUGUGGGGAGCAAACAGGAUUAGAUACCC
rnacentral:rRNA from 1 species